rnacentral:rRNA from 1 species
GACGAACGCUGGCGGCGUGCCUAACACAUGCAAGUCGAGCGAAUGAAGUUCCUUCGGGACCGGAUUUAGCGGCGGACGGGUGAGUAACACGUGGGCAACCUGCCUCAUAGAGGGGAAUAGCCUUCCGAAAGGGAGAUUAAUACCGCAUAAGAUUGUAGUACCGCAUGGUACAGCAAUUAAAGGAGCAAUCCGCUAUGAGAUGGGCCCGCGGCGCAUUAGCUAGUUGGUGAGGUAACGGCUCACCAAGGCGACGAUGCGUAGCCGACCUGAGAGGGUGAUCGGCCACAUUGGGACUGAGACACGGCCCAGACUCCUACGGGAGGCAGCAGUGGGGAAUAUUGCACAAUGGGGGAAACCCUGAUGCAGCAACGCCGCGUGAGUGAUGACGGCCUUCGGGUUGUAAAGCUCUGUCUUCAGGGACGAUAAUGACGGUACCUGAGGAGGAAGCCACGGCUAACUACGUG